rnacentral:rRNA from 1 species
GACGAACGCUGGCGGCGUGCUUAACACAUGCGAGUCGAACGGAAAGGCCCUGCUUUUGUGGGGUGCUCGAGUGGCGAACGGGUGAGUAACACGGGAGUAACCUGCCCUUGACUUUGGGAUAACUUCAGGAAACUGGGGCUAAUACCGGAUAGGAGCUCCUGCUGCAUGGUGGGGGUUGGAAAGUUUCGGCGGUUGGGGAUGGACUCGCGGCUUAUCAGCUUGUUGGGGGGGGAGUGGCUUACGAAGGCUUUGACGGGUAGCCGGCCUGAGAGGGUGACCGGCCACCUUGGGACUGCGAUACGGCGCAGACUCCUACGGGAGGCAGCAGUGGGGAAUAUUGCACAGUGGGCGGACGCCUGAUGCAGCAACGCCGCGUGCGGGAUGACGGCCUUCGGGUUGUAAACCGCUUUCGCCUGUGACGAAGCGUGAGUGACGGUAAUGGGUAAAGAAGCACCGGCUAACUACGUG